rfam:Nicotiana attenuata strain TT chromosome 2, whole genome shotgun sequence.
ACAAAGAUAUAUAUAUAUAUAUAUAUAUAGACAAAGGGUCGCGAUCCCGCGAGGGUGAGCUAACCCCAAAAACCCGUCCUCAGUUCGGAUUGCAGGCUGCAACUCGCCUGCAUGAAGCCGGAAUCGCUAGUAAUCGCCGGUCAGCCAUACGGCGGUGAAUUCGUUCC